CUUAGAUGCACUAUUGUAAAGUGGCUGUUCCACUGGAUGUCAUAAGGUGAAAGCACCAAUUUGUAAGUCGCUCUGGAUAAGAGCGUCUGCUAAAUGACUUAAAUGUAAUGUAAAUGUAACUGUUAACACAUAGUAGGAUACUCAUUACUUUGUGUGACAGGUUUCCCCAAUGUCAUUGGUGCAGUGGACUGCACACACAAGGAUAAAAGCCCCCUCAGGUGCCCAUGAGGCCGAUUUUGUGAAUAGGAAAUCCUUUCACAGCAUUAAUGUUCAGAUGGUCUGCAAUGCUGACUGUGUGAUCAGCAAUGUUGUGGCAAAAUGGCCUGGCUCAGUCCAUGACUCCAGAAUCUUUCGGGCCUCUGAAAUCUAUCAGUGCCUAUCACAAGGUGAAUUCUCUGGUGUGUUGCUGGGAGACAGGGGGUAUGGCUGCCAGCCUUUUCUCCUGACACCUUUCACAGACCCCCAGGAAGCACAGCAGGCCUACAACCAUGCCCAUGCCAGGACCAGGGCCAGAGUUGAAAUGACCUUUGGCCUCCUGAAGGCACGCUUUCACUGCCUUCACAAAUUAAGGGUCAGCCCUGUUAGGGCAUGUGAUAUUACUGUGGCUUGUGCUGUCCUCCACAAUGUGGCCUGCCUGAGGAAGGAGAGGGCCCCCAGAGUGCCACCAGCCAUGGACUGGGACAAUCCGGCAAUCUUCCUGAUGACGACAGUGGUCGGCUGCUGAGGGACCAAUAUGUGUUGAAUUAUUUUAGUUAGUAUGUGUGCUUUCAAUUUUGGUUAAAUAUGUCCUGCGGUGGCAGAGGAAUUUGGGUUUUUUUUUUGGGUUCGUUUUUUGACGAAUUUGGCCUCUUAUGAUGUUUGUGCGGUAUACUGUGUGUAAUACAAGGCUGCAGGGAGGCUACUGCAUCCAUUCAUUUGUCUGUUCAGUUGAUGUGUAUGGAUUUGUCCUGCAUUUAUUUUAGUGUGCAGACAUGCAGGGUGUGUUAUAUACAGACCUUUGAAUGUGUAUGUAUCAUUUUGUAUAAUAUGCUUGGAUUCUGUGCUUUCCAUCUUGUAGAGUCACUGUGACUUCAGUUUCGAAAGGAGCUGAUGGUUUACCUGCUUUGUUUUGUCCUUAUUCAAUAAAGGAACAUAAUGUUACACAUUGUGUUUUUAUAUUCA